rnacentral:sRNA from 1 species
UUUUCCUCUGCUGCCUCCCGCAGACCCAAGGCUGAGUGAGGGGCGGCGGCGGAAGUGGGAGGCCCACCCAAAAAGCCAAAUGGGGGGCCAGAAGAGUGAAGGCGCACCCUGGGGUCACCCUACCCUACCCUGUCCCCUCCCAGCCCCACUCUGCGGGCGGGCGCUGCCCUUUUGGGCGUCGCAGACCCUCCAACCCCGGCGGCGGCCUUAAGAUUCCCGGGCUGGGAUCCCUGCUGCAGAGGGGGAACUUGGCUGUGUUGUCCUGCCUCAGAGACAAAUUCAUCUAUUGUAGGCCUAGCCUGGGUUGCUGCCUUUGAAAACAAGGAAAGGUUGGUAGAACAUCAACACAGCAUGGAAUUUCCAGGGAGGUCUCAUUUCAAAACUUCAUAAAGAACAAGAACCACCUGGACUUCUGUGAGGGCGAUGAUUAAACUGGCCUGAGUUUGAAUGAAAGGAUAAUGUGUGCUCAACCUGUAACUAACACCAAGGAGGUCAAGUGGCAGAAGGUCUUGUAUGAGCGACAGCCCUUUCCUGAUAACUAUGUGGACCGGCGAUUCCUGGAAGAGCUCCGGAAAAACAUCCAUGCUCGGAAAUACCAAUAUUGGGCUGUGGUAUUUGAGUCCAGUGUGGUGAUCCAGCAGCUGUGCAGUGUUUGUGUUUUUGUGGUUAUCUGGUGGUAUAUGGAUGAGGGUCUUCUGGCCCCCCAUUGGCUUUUAGGGACUGGCCUGGCUUCUUCACUGAUUGGGUAUG